UGCAGUCGAGCGCGAAAGGCUUUCGGGCUGAGUAGAGCGGCGGACGGGUGAGUAACGCGUAGGAAUCUACCUGGUAGUGGGGGACAACUUGGGGAAACUCAAGCUAAUACCGCAUACGCCCUAUGGGGGAAAGCGGGGGACCUUCGGGCCUCGCGCUAUCAGAUGAGCCUGCGUAGGAUUAGCUAGUUGGUGAGGUAAAGGCUCACCAAGGCGACGAUCCUUAGCUGGUCUGAGAGGAUGAUCAGCCACACUGGGACUGAGACACGGCCCAGACUCCUACGGGAGGCAGCAGUGGGGAAUAUUGCGCAAUGGGGGCAACCCUGACGCAGCCAUGCCGCGUGUGUGAAGAAGGCCUUCGGGUUGUAAAGCACUUUCAAUGGGGAAGAAAAGCGUAGCGUUAAUAGCGUUGCGCCGUGACGUUACCCAUAGAAGAAGCACCGGCUAACUCCGUGCCAGCAGCCGCGGUAAUACGGAGGGUGCGAGCGUUAAUCGGAAUUACUGGGCGUAAAGCGCGCGUAGGCGGUUUGUUAAGUCAGCUGUGAAAGCCCCGGGCUUAACCUGGGAACUGCAGUUGAUACUGGCCGACUAGAGUACGAGAGAGGGAGGUAGAAUUCCAUGUGUAGCGGUGAAAUGCGUAGAUAUAUGGAGGAAUACCGGUGGCGAAGGCGGCCUCCUGGCUCGAUACUGACGCUGAGGUGCGAAAGCGUGGGGAUCAAACAGGAUUAGAUACCCUGGUAGUCCACGCCGUAAACGAUGUCUACUAGCCGUUGGGAGACUUGAUUUCUUAGUGGCGCAGCUAACGCAAUAAGUAGACCGCCUGGGGAGUACGGCCGCAAGGUUAAAACUCAAAUGAAUUGACGGGGGCCCGCACAAGCGGUGGAGCAUGUGGUUUAAUUCGAUGCAACGCGAAGAACCUUACCAGGUCUUGACAUCCAGAGAACUUUCCAGAGAUGGAUUGGUGCCUUCGGGAGCUCUGAAACAGGUGCUGCAUGGCUGUCGUCAGCUCGUGUCGUGAAAUGUUGGGUUAA
rnacentral:rRNA from 1 species